rnacentral:tRNA from 2 species
GCCCGGGUGGUCUAGUGGUAUGAUUCUCGCUUAGGGAUUACCCAAGCAUAUCUGCGAGAGGUCCCGCGUUCGAUCCGCGGCUCGGGCC